rnacentral:tRNA from 1 species
AUUUAAAUAGUUUAACUAGAAUAAUAACUUGUGGUGUUAUAGGUGUAUAAUUAUACUUUAAAUU